CUGGUCGGGCCGGAGCUCGUGGGUUAUCAGCCCUUAACUGAACCCAUCCCACGAGCAUUGCUCGCCCGUCCU
rnacentral:sRNA from 1 species